UUGCGUAUUUUCCGUGUUUUCUACGUUAAAAGUGUAUAACGAGUACGAAUUUUUGUCAAGAAUGUCGAUCAAAGUGACGGGCGAUUGUCGGAAUGUAUUGUUGUUGCCACGGGUGUUCGUGAUUUAUGAGUGACGAUGCUAUGUCGAUCGUUUGGCGGGAGGAUUGUAGAUUUAAACAGGUCUAAAUUUGACAAUGGCUGUGUGAUUGUCGUUUGUCGCUCGUUAUCGAGCGUUGCUCACUCCGAGUACGUAUAAUGGCUACAACACCAUGAAUGUAUUGCAACAAGAAGUGUUUAAUUUAUAUCAUGUCACGGUAAGACAAAUUUGUGACUUUCGUGUAUAGUACGGAUUGACUUUUGUUUGGUAGUCUGUAUAAUUAACAAUAAGUACAGUUUCUCCAAAUUCAUCAAUUAUCCAAUGGAGCUGAUUCGAAGGAGAAGCUGAAGCAGGAGCAGAUCCAAGAGCAGCUGAUCCAAGUAGAAUCUGCAGCAAGUGAAAUAAAUCGCAAUAUCCAAUCUAGUACAGGGUUAGCAAUGUAAUUAGCUAGGAUACAAUAAUUGAAUCCAGAUAUCGUAGAAAAAUGGAAAGCUUCGCAAAGAUGAGAGGAUUGAAAGACAAGGAAGGAGAUAAUCAGGAAGGUGAUUGUGAUGAAGAAAACUGCGGCCGCGAUCGGGAAGGUGUCCUUCGUCUUCAUCUUCGUCUUCCUCGCCGUUGCCGGUAUCGUCGUUUUUCUUCAAGUGGGAGCAUCAACUUGCAAAAGCCGCUCGGAGCAUUGUGGCGCAGCGUUUUUAAUAGGGUGCAGCUGAAGGCGUACUUAGCUAGGGUACAACGACCGGUCAGCAUGAGCAGGAAAGAGUUUUAGCGACAAGCGCGACGCGAAGCUAAGAACGCAUGCCUAAAUUAGCCUGGGAAGCGGAUAAUUUGCUGGUAAGCGGCUAACGGGUCACUCUCCAGGGGAUAAUAGAUCACCGACUGGUGUCCCAAAGACUGAUCAGAAAACUGGUCGACUCUCAUGGCAGCGCGGAAACUCGCAGCCCUCUUCGCCGCGGUCCUGCAACUUUGCUUAUGCCAAAACAAAAGCCCGGAAGUUUUGCCCGAGUUCUUAGCUCCUUUGGAAAAUCACACGGUGAUCCAAGGUCGCGACGUCUUCUUCACCUGCGUCGUUAAUCAUUUAUCGACGUACAAGGUAGCCUGGAUAAAGUCGGAUUCCCGAGCAAUUUUGGCGAUACAUACGCACAUGGUAGCGCACAAUAAUCGAUUAUCCGUCACGCACAACGGACACAACACGUGGAAACUACACGUGUCGAAUGUCCAGAAGAACGAUUCCGGUACUUACAUGUGUCAAGUCAAUACCGACCCAAUGCGCAGUCAGAUGGGAUACAUGGAAGUAGUGAUACCGCCCGACAUAAUGGAUGACGAGUCCGCAGAUGGUAUGGUCACCCACGAGGGAGGCAAUAUAAGGCUGCGAUGCGUCGCUACCGGUUCGCCGAAGCCUACUGUCACUUGGAAACGAGAAGACGGCCGCAAUAUCAUUCUCAGAGAAGAUGGACAGAAACAAUCUCUGAAAACCUUCGUCGGCGAGACACUGGAAUUGACGGGGGUGAUGCGGCAAGAGAUGGGCACGUAUCUCUGCAUAGCCAGCAACAACGUGCCGCCGACGGUUAGCAAGCGUUACUCCGUCAAUGUUCACUUUCAACCUCUUAUUAAGGUGACGAGUCAAUUGGUGGCUGCGCCGAUUAAUAGAGACGUCGUCCUACAAUGUUACGUCGAAGCGUCACCGCACGCCAUGAAUACAUGGUACAGAGAGUCAGGCGAGAAACUGCUGCCCAGUGACAAAUACGCGAUGUCGGAGUAUGCACUGAAUGAUUACUCCCGGCAAAUGAAUCUCACUGUCAAUUCCCUGGAAAAACGAGACUUCGGCGGAUACGUGUGCUCGUCCGUCAACGCGCUCGGCAAGGCCGAAGGUGUAGUGAGAUUGCAAGAACUGCACUUAUUCGCAAAGACAACUCCGACGACGCUCACGAAGAACACACGAAAGAAACCUCCGACAUCGAAGAACAGGAAAAAGAACAGUAACAACAACGGCAAGCGAUAUGGGAUUGAUGAUGCCGAUUCUGGCAGCGAUGACGAUCUUGGUACGACGCAGAUCAUGGCUGGUAGUACCCUCCAGGAGGGCCACAGAACGGACAUACCAUUUGUCGUGCCUUCCAUACCGCCGCCCUGGGUCGUCUUGAACACUGCGAACUUUAGGCACCCUUCGGUGUCUGCGAUUCUGCUUCUGCUUCUUUUGCCGACUACCCUGUAAGAUGACAAAGAGCUUUAUGAAAAAACGGUGGCUACGAGAGAAACGAGCAUUAUGAAGAUCCACGAGGCAUAGUCCGGAAUCUCAAAGAUUGAUAGAUUUAAAAAACUUCGAUCUUGCACGAUACAGCCCAGAAAAUUAACAUUUUAUGAUAUCUUCAUUCACCAUUUGCGUGUUUGAAGCUAUUAUAAAUUCAGGAUAGAGAUUAAUGAAUGAACUUAGAAAAGCAAACAAUAGGGUCAGUUAGGGACCCCUUGUGGAUCUUCAUUAUUCGCCUAAAAGUAACGCAAAGGGACGCGCCAUGCGUACGCGACAAUCCUAUCUAGGCAGGUCAGUCCCUCUGGCGAUGAUUGUAAAUAUGAAUGAAGGAUGAGUAAAUUCGCGGACAGGAUGUAUAAAAGAGAAAACGGCACUGUUCCCAAGACAGUUAGUUAGACAUGCACGGUUUAAAUGACAACGCUCCUAAAGUCAGUUUACAAGUAAAUUAACUUACUUUUCAAUUAUACAAUAUUUGUGUGUAUAUCAUAUUAAAUAAAUACAUAAAAAUAUAAUUUUUUUUAAAUU
rnacentral:misc_RNA from 1 species